UACAGAGGGUGCGAGCGUUGUUCGGAAUUAUUGGGCGUAAAGCGCAUGUAGGCGGUCUGUUAAGUCGCGUGUGAAAGCUUCCAGCUCAACUGGAAAAGUGCGCGCGAAACUGAUGGACUUGAGUGCUGGAGAGGGUGGCGGAAUUCCCGGUGUAGAGGUGAAAUUCGUAGAUAUCGGGAGGAACACCAGAGGCGAAGGCGGCCACCUGGACAGACACUGACGCUGAGACGCGAAAGCGUGGGGAGCAAACAGG
rnacentral:misc_RNA from 1 species